GGUCAUGACGACCACAACAAAAGAAACAACCACCAGCGCCCAACGUGAGACAGCGACGCCGACCCUCCGGACCCCAGAAGUACCAGGCAAGCAGAACUUCAAAGGCCUGUGUACUGAUCAACGCCGAGCUCAGGUGACCCGUCAUGCAAGAGCUUCUGCCCAGGAGCAUUCGCCACACAAACUACAGAUCCUGACAUCAUGAAGAACGACGGUACGUACAGCGGCCACUUCACCCAGUUCACGGGCCGAGGAAGGUACUCUGUCAUGGCAUACGUUAACGGAGGCAAGAAGACUAGACAUGCGUACCGUAGGCUGGGAUUCCCCCCCGACGCGGUGGUCUGGGAUGGAAAACACAAACGCGUGUCAUCAAACGAAUUACCAAUCAGACCAGCCCCAGCCAACUACGCUUUCAAUAAUACCCUCCUAGGGGACUUGGAGCCCACGCGCCCGUUCCAGAGAAUCACAGGCGCCGCUUCCUUUAUGGUCACCAGGGACCUCCGGCGGAGUGAUGUUCCUCCUGCUAGUAUCAUGGACCUGGGAGCUGUCGAAGGGCACGUUGGGAUCGACGGAACGCCUAUCGUCAGACUUACGUGGACUUGGCCUGGUGCUCAUAUGACACACGGAGUGGGUGCGUAUUGUCUGUGAGCGCCCAUUUCGAACUCAGGAAGAAAUGACGUCAGAAUACUCAACAGGAGCAUUAUGAUUGGCAUUACGAACGAGGGAAGUUCUUCGUUUUCUGCGUUGUUAACGUUUGGAACACCCCUCUUUA